GUCAGGAUGGCCGAGCGGUCUAAGCGACGUUCAGCGUCGCAGGCCUCUCCCCUGGAAGCGUGGGUUCAAAUCCCACUUCUGACA